GGGCCGGUAGCUCAGCUUGGCUAUCCAUAGCGUCCAAGGAGCACACGGCUGAUAACCGUGGGGUCGCCGGUCCGAAUCCGGCCCGGCCCA
rnacentral:tRNA from 1 species